rnacentral:rRNA from 1 species
GCAGCGACGCCGCGUGAGGGAUGACGGCCUUCGGGUUGUAAACCUCUUUCAGCAGGGAAGAAGCGAAAGUGACGGUACCUGCAGAAGAAGCGCCGGCUAACUACGUGCCAGCAGCCGCGGUAAUACGUAGGGCGCAAGCGUUGUCCGGAAUUAUUGGGCGUAAAGAGCUCGUAGGCGGCUUGUCACGUCGGGUGUGAAAGCCCGGGGCUUAACCCCGGGUCUGCAUCCGAUACGGGCAGGCUAGAGUGUGGUAGGGGAGAUCGGAAUUCCUGGUGUAGCGGUGAAAUGCGCAGAUAUCAGGAGGAACACCGGUGGCGAAGGCGGAUCUCUGGGCCAUUACUGACGCUGAGGAGCGAAAGCGUGGGGAGCGAACAGGAUUAGAUACCCUGGUAGUCCACGCCGUAAACGUUGGGAACUAGGUGUUGGCGACAUUCCACGUCGUCGGUGCCGCAGCUAACGCAUUAAGUUCCCCGCCUGGGGAGUACGGCCGCAAGGCUAAAACUCACAGGAAUUGACGGGGGCCCGCACAAGCAGCGGAGCAUGUGGCUUAAUUCGACGCAACGCGAAGAACCUUACCAAGGCUUGACAUAUACCGGACAGCAUUAGAGAUAGUGCCCCCCUUG